GGAAACUGGAUGUUCUCCUAAAACAGCCACCUAGCCAAGCUGAACCAACAGAGAUGUAUUGAUCACCGGGUCAAUGGAACUAGGUGGGUGCUGGGGGGAAAGUCAGCAGGUAAGUCAGGUGAGGACUGCCUCCCUUCCACUCCCCACCCAGAGACUGAAGACAGACAGACAGACAGAGGCGUUCAUUCAGAAAGAAGUAGGAGGGCUUCAGGGAUUCAGCGGAGGAGACUGAAAGCCUGAGAGACGAUGCCUCUGAGAAGGUUACAGGAACCUGACAAGACUGACUAGCCAUCUCUAGCAUUCAGAUAGGUGGAACUUCAUUGUGCUGAAGUUAUGUUUGAGCACCCUCUGCUGGACAAAUCAGAUGCUCUAUGACUACCAACAAUGUACCAGUGGUAUUCGUCUCUUGCAGAUCUGGAAGAAAAUGAAAUUUAGGUACAUACAGUCACGAACAGAUACCUAGAUGACACAUUUAAAACCCUCAAACACAGUGGAGAUGAGACCAGCAUAAUAUUAAGCUCUUCUCCCUCACAAACACCUGUGCUACCCACACUCACAGGCAAAAAAAAUAUACACAACUGCCAGACUGCAAUGCCUCCCAAUUUAUUGGCCAAAUCUAGAUUCUGCUAGCCCUGUAUAUUCACUCAGAAAGCCAGGCUUCAGACACACCAUGAGUGAUGAGAAAUCCAUUUCAUCAGCAGAGGCAUCUUGCCUAUCUUCAGGAAGCCUACAGACUUCCAGGGAAGCAGGGGGGAAAUCAAGACGUGUCUGACUAUGAGCUGGGGUAAGGGAAGCCUCCGUGUGAAGAUGUGACCUAGUUAGGACAGCUGCCGGAAAGCAGGACUGGCAAGCUUGGUGGUUUGUACACCGGGCCUUGGGAGACUUGGGACACAAACACGAGGUCUUCUGAGGAUGUUUGUGAGUUGCUGGGUUACACAAAAAGAUUCUAGCUCAACAAGCAAAGAAGCGAAGGGGAGGGAAGGGGAGGAAAGGGAGGAGAAGAAAGGAAGUGGGAAGAGAAAAUGGGGCCAAGAAAAGCCCCAAACAUCCCAUAAGCACCCAGAACAGUGUCCCCACCGCGAACCAACCGGGAACCAAAGUGUUCACACCAGAUGAGCUCGUGGAAGGGCUUUUUGCCAAUUGUUCAUGGGUCCCCAGUGAUGAUGGAAUAUUGCGACUUACGUUUCAACCGUUUAAAAAUUUACUGUUAUUAUUUAUGCAUUUCAGUGUUUUGUCUGUUACACGCUCUGUAACUCCAGUUGCAGAAAAUGUAAAACUUUUCUGCCCCCUCCCCCUCCGGCAACCGGGCACAGACAUUUACGGGAGGCUGUGGCUACUUUAGGAGAUGUGAGCGAGCAGUCUCCUUCCUGCUGCUGCAGCUGCAAGCUGCUCCUGCCGCCCAUGCCUUCUCUACUGCCAUGCCUUCCCUACCACAAGGGCCAGAACUCUCACACUGAAAGCCAGAAUAAAUCCUUCCUCUCUUCGGUUGGUUGUUGUCAGGAGAAGGCAGCAGCUGGCAUCAAUGGUGUGGUGAGGAGAGAAUCAAGUUUCCUUCUCCAGUUCAAACAGACGAAAGUGAAGCGACAUAGGCUCAAGGACAGGGUCACUGGGCUAGCGCCACACCAUGGAGCCAAACCCCGAGCCUUCUAAAUUGUGAGCUGGGCAUGGUGGUUCACCCCAGGAAUCGCAGCACUGAGGGAUGAAGGCGAGAGAGUCACUGUGGGUGUGACAUCAGUCUGGCCUGAAGUCUGAGACUGUUUUUUUAAAAAGAAAACAUUUUUUUAUGUCAUAUAUUUAAUUAUAUAAAGAUUCUGUUGUUUUGUUGUUGUUGUUGUUAAAAUUCAGCCAGGAAAUUUCCAUCUGUCUGGUGUUAAUUGGUUGUUUUUCAGCACUAAUUGGGAAAUGAUAUAUUUUUAUUGUUUUAUAAAUAGAGUAAAACCCCUCAGAAACUGCUGGGGAAAUUUAAACAAGGAAAGCAAUUCUAUGUCCUUGCUUGACACCAGUUUGUCCCAGAGGUGACACAACUGUGUAGUUUUUGAAAACACUGGGCAUUUAUAUAUAUAUGAGACAAAACCCCACUGUAUAGCCCUGGCUAACUCGAAACUCACUAUGUAAAUCAGGCUGGGCUUUGACACACAGAGCUCUGCCUUUGCCUACUCAGUGUUGGGAUUUAACACCCACACCACCAUAGCCAGCCUUCUCUCCAAGGGGCAAAUUUCUUUCUGAAGCAACUUCCUCAUUUAUUAACAGUAUUGCUUCCAGACCCCGUGUGUGUGUGUGUGUGUGUGUGUGUGUGUGUGUGUGUGUGUACAGAUAUGUGUUUGCAAGUAUUUAGACACAAGUUGAUGCAGACUACACCAGUUUCAUGAAAUUGUUCCCAUGUCAGUGGCUAGUCUGAGCCUUUUGUACUUGUAAACAGCUGGCUGUAAACUGGGGAUUCCCAUACUCUCCUCUUCAGCCCCAUAAUUAUCAUGGUGAUUUGCAACCUGUAGGUAAUGACCCGUUUGGCUCAUAUAUCAGAUAUUCUGCAUGUCAGAUAUUUAUAUUUUGAUUCAUAACAAUAGUAAAAUUAUAGUUAUGAAGUAGUAAUGUAAAUAGUUACACUGUGGGGGUCACCACAACACGAGGAACUGUGUUAAAUGGCUUCAGCAAUAGGAAGGUUGAGAGCCACUGAUUUAUUAGGUCAUUUCAUGGAUCGUGGGGAUGCUUUCUACUUUCAUCUAUUGUUUAUUACAAAAGAUGUAGACAGACAGAUAGAUAGACAGACUCACAGAUAAAUAGAAAAAUAGAUGACAGAAAGAUAGAAAGUUAGGUAAAAAGAUAAAAAGAUAGGUAGAUGCUAGAAAGAUAGAUAGACUCAAAGACAAAUAGAAAGAUAGAUAAUAGAGAAAGGUGGAAAGAAAAAUAGAUAGAUGAUGGAAAGAUAGGUAGAUAGACUGACAGAAUGA
rnacentral:lncRNA from 1 species